rnacentral:misc_RNA from 1 species
AAUUGUUGAAGUUCGAUUGAGUAUGAUAGACCUUUUUACUAGGCAAACCACACGAAUACACGAUUGAUUAAUUUCACUGAGAAUAGCACGGGUACAUCACAUCACACAAAUUCAUACGUUGAUACACGCAUAGUCGCCGAAGCGACCAGCUGCUUAAUUAAUCGAUAACACACGGGUUUAAUUCAGCAAUAAUCAGCACACACACAAACCACACUCAUAUGGGUGGUUUUUAUUGUGGACUAAUUAAGGUAGGUGACUCGCCGGCGGCGAGUGUUCGGUUGCUUCGUGACUUCACUUGCCGCACUUGCAGUCGGUGCAGGAGCAGCUGGUGCCGCACUUGCAGCCGCCGUUCUCCUCGCCGGCGGCGACCUCCUCGAAGUGGCUCUUCUCGGCUUCAACUAUGACGACGCCAUAGCUGGUACCUUUCUUCACGCACUGGCUCUUGUCA